rnacentral:pre_miRNA from 1 species
UCUGUGUAGGCAGGCGUGUGUCGUGUGAGAAUAUGCAUUUGCGAGUAGCUUCCCACUUGAUCACUGCUGCUACGCUU